GAUGAACGCUAGCUACAGGCUUAACACAUGCAAGUCGAGGGGUAACGAGAGGAAAGCUUGCUUUCCUUGUCGACGACCGGCGCACGGGUGAGUAACGCGUAUCCAACCUGCCCCCAACUAAGGAAUAACCUUGCGAAAGUAAGACUAAUACCCUAUAAUUUCCUCAGAUGACAUCUGACGAGGAAUAAAGAUUUAUCGGUUGUGGAUGGGGAUGCGUCUGAUUGGCUUGUUGGCGGGGUAACGGCCCACCAAGGCAACGAUCAGUAGGGGUUCUGAGAGGAAGGUCCCCCACAUUGGAACUGAGACACGGUCCAAACUCCUACGGGAGGCAGCAGUGAGGAAUAUUGGUCAAUGGGCGGAAGCCUGAACCAGCCAAGUAGCGUGCAGGAUGACGGCCCUAUGGGUUGUAAACUGCUUUUAUACAGGAAUAAAGUUAGCCACGUGUGGUUAUUUGUAGGUACUGUAUGAAUAAGGACCGGCUAAUUCCGUGCCAGCAGCCGCCGUAA
rnacentral:rRNA from 1 species